UACGGAGGAUGCAAGCGUUGUCCGGAUUUAUUGGGCGUAAAGCGCUCGCAGGCGGCUCGAUGCGUCGUGCGUGAAACACCCCGGCUCAACUGGGGAGGGUCGUGCGAUACGGUCGGGCUGGAGGCCAGUAGGGGGAUGCGGAAUUCCGGGUGUAGUGGUGGAAUGCGUAGAGAUCCGGAGGAACACCAGCGGCGAAGGCGGCAUCCUGGACUGGUCCUGACGCUCAGGAGCGAAAGCGUGGGGAGCGAUCCGG
rnacentral:rRNA from 1 species